rnacentral:rRNA from 1 species
AGCAGUCGCCGCGGUAAUACGGAGGGUGCAAGCGUUAAUCGGAAUUACUGGGCGUAAAGCGCACGCAGGCGGUCUGACAAGUCAGAUGUGAAAUCCCCGGACUUAACCUGGGAACUGCAUUUGAAACUGUCAGGCUGGAGUCUUGUAGAGGGGGGUAGAAUUCCAGGUGUAGCGGUGAAAUGCGUAGAGAUCUGGAGGAAUACCGGUGGCGAAGGCGGCCCCCUGGACAAAGACUGACGCUCAGGUGCGAAAGCGUGGGGAGCAAACAGGAUUAGAUACCCCGGUAGUCCCUGUCUCUUAUAC